rnacentral:rRNA from 1 species
AUUGAACGCUGGCGGCAUGCCUUACACAUGCAAGUCGAACGGUAACGGGCCUUCGGGUGCCGACGAGUGGCGAACGGGUGAGUAAUGCAUCGGAACGUACCUUUCAGUGGGGGAUAACGUAGCGAAAGUUAACGCUAAUACCGCAUAUUCUGUGAGCAGGAAAGCAGGGGAUCGCAAGACCUUGCGCUGAUUGAGCGGCCGAUGUCAGAUUAGCUAGUUGGUGAGGUAAAGGCUCACCAAGGCGACGAUCUGUAGCGGGUCUGAGAGGAUGAUCCGCCACACUGGAACUGAGACACGGUCCAGACUCCUACGGGAGGCAGCAGUGGGGAAUUUUGGACAAUGGGGGCAACCCUGAUCCAGCCAUGCCGCGUGAGUGAA